AGGAUGAACGCUGGCGGCGUGCUUAACACAUGCAAGUCGAGCGAAGCACUUAAGUGGAUCUCUUCGGAUUGAAACUUAUUUGACUGAGCGGCGGACGGGUGAGUAACGCGUGGGUAACCUGCCUCAUACAGGGGGAUAACAGUUAGAAAUGACUGCUAAUACCGCAUAAGCGCACAGGACCGCAUGGUCUGGUGUGAAAAACUCCGGUGGUAUGAGAUGGACCCGCGUCUGAUUAGCUAGUUGGAGGGGUAACGGCCCACCAAGGCAACGAUCAGUAGCCGGCCUGAGAGGGUGAACGGCCACAUUGGGACUGAGACACGGCCCAGACUCCUACGGGAGGCAGCAGUGGGGAAUAUUGCACAAUGGGGGAAACCCUGAUGCAGCGACGCCGCGUGAAGGAAGAAGUAUCUCGGUAUGUAAACUUCUAUCAGCAGGGAAGAAAAUGACGGUACCUGACUAAGAAGCCCCGGCUAACUACGUGCCAGCAGCCGCGGUAAUACGUAGGGGGCAAGCGUUAUCCGGAUUUACUGGGUGUAAAGGGAGCGUAGACGGAAGAGCAAGUCUGAUGUGAAAGGCUGGGGCUUAACCCCAGGACUGCAUUGGAAACUGUUUUUCUAGAGUGCCGGAGAGGUAAGCGGAAUUCCUAGUGUAGCGGUGAAAUGCGUAGAUAUUAGGAGGAACACCAGUGGCGAAGGCGGCUUACUGGACGG
rnacentral:rRNA from 1 species